GUUCAGAUACAAGGUGCACUUCGUAAAUGUGAUACAAUUCUGAUCCUUCUUCUGGCCAAUAACGAUGGCACAUAGCUACACCCUCCUCGGAGGGUAAUACAACUCGUUGGCGAAUUGGGUAUUGGAUCCACCAUGGUUGGGAGUGAAUUUCACUAUGGCUAUUGCAGGUACCUUGAAAAAGAAGAAAAUUGUUAGGAUGUGAGAUAAAAAAUGCUGACAGAGUCGAAGGUCGUAACUCUCUCUGGAAUAAAAGUUCUUUGAAGAAAUUGCCUUCCACCAAAAUUUAAUUUAAGGAACAUAUACAAAAGUAACGAAUCAUAUACAUUUUAAAUUAAACAGUAAUCAUACCCAUGGCGUAAAUUGUACAAGGACGUUUGCAUAAUACAUUGUGUGAAAGGAUG